ACGACAUCGAAAGCUUGCUUUUGAUGGGCGUCGACCGGCGCACGGGUGAGUAACGCGUAUCCAACCUGCCCAUCACUUGGGAAUAACCUUGCGAAAGUAAGACUAAUACCCAAUGACAUCCCACGAAGGCAUCCGAAUGGGAUUAAAGAUUUAUCGGUGAUGGAUGGGGAUGCGUCUGAUUAGCUUGUUGGCGGGGUAACGGCCCACCAAGGCGACGAUCAGUAGGGGUUCUGAGAGGAAGGUCCCCCACAUUGGAACUGAGACACGGUCCAAACUCCUACGGGAGGCAGCAGUGAGGAAUAUUGGUCAAUGGGCGAGAGCCUGAACCAGCCAAGUAGCGUGCAGGAUGACGGCCCUAUGGGUUGUAAACUGCUUUUAUAAGGGAAUAAAGUGGGUCACGUGUGACUUUUUGCAUGUACCUUAUGAAUAAGGACCGGCUAAUUCCGUGCCAGCAGCCGCGGUAAUACGGAAGGUCCGGGCGUUAUCCGGAUUUAUUGGGUUUAAAGGGAGCGUAGGCCGGAGAUUAAGCGUGUUGUGAAAUGUAGUGGCUCAACCUCUGCACUGCAGCGCGAACUGGUCUUCUUGAGUACGCACAACGUGGGCGGAAUUCGUGGUGUAGCGGUGAAAUGCUUAGAUAUCACGAAGAACUCCGAUUGCGAAGGCAGCUCACGGGAGCGCAACUGACGCUGAAGCUCGAAAGUGCGGGUAUCGAACAGGAUUAGAUACCCUGGUAGUCCGCACGGUAAACGAUGGAUGCCCGCUGUUGGCCUGAAUAGGUCAGCGGCC
rnacentral:rRNA from 1 species